CACCUCUCCUAGCCUCAGGAUCUUCAUGGGUAACAGAUGACGCUCCUCCCAAGAUAUUGGUAUGCGUACAGUAGUGCCCUGGACCGACCCCAUGCAAGCUGUUGCUCUUCAGCCUCCUCUACAAGGUGGUUGGUCUCUUCCCGUGAAACCUCCAGCUCUCUCCAUCUUCCGCACCCCUGAGGCCGCAGUCUCUUCUGUAACGGGGCACGCUCGUCUCCUGCGCUGUUCCCCGAUCGCCACCAGGAGGCGCCCCUUGCUCGCUGAAGCCGGUCGGGCUAAUAACUCCUCGGGGCCGGGGCGGGCUGCCCCUUUGCGCAGGGCGGUGGAGGGUGCGGGCUGCGCCGGGCUCCCCACCUGAGGUCGGUACCUCGAAGCGCCCGCUCGGCCGCGCGCCCCUUGCCCCAGCCCAGCGCCGCUCCCCAACCGGGCGCCUCCAGCUCGGCCCCGGCCCCCGGGCGGCAGCAAGUUUGCCCCCGGCCGCGCGGACCCGCGCCCGCCCCUCGCGCCGCCGCCCCCGCCGUUCACGCAGAUCCACCGUCCCCGCGCCUGGGCUACCCGGCGAGGCUCUAAGGGGCACAGGGGGGCGUGCGGCUGCCCCCGGGGCGCCGGCCGGGCCCCGAAGGGGCGCCCCCCCGGCCGGCCGAGCGCGGGGCCGUCGCAGUUCCCCGGCUGUCCGCCGGGCGGCGCCCCGUGCCUCACCGCGCUCCUCCCGCGCUCCCCGCGCCGGGCUCGCUCGCAGCCGGACACAGACUCUGCCUUCAGCUGCCGGCGGAUCGGGCUGGAGCCGCCGUGGCUGCUGCGGAAGAGAAAAAAACGGCGAGCAGCAGCCCCGCGGCCGGCCCAGCAGCGCCCGGCCCACGGCACAGCCCCCGGAGUGCGGAGCUGCCCAGAGACAUGUCAUGCCCAGGCCAGCAGGGGGCUCCAUGAGGAUUCAUAGAAGAUGCCCCGCGUCUCGGCGCCUUUGGUGCUGCUUCCUGCUUGGCUCGUGAUGGUCGCCUGCAGCCCGCACUCCCUGAGGAUCGCUGCUAUCUUGGACGACCCCAUGGAGUGCAGCAGAGGGGAGCGGCUCUCCAUCACCCUGGCCAAGAACCGCAUCAACCGCGCUCCUGAGAGGCUGGGCAAGGCCAAGGUCGAAGUGGACAUCUUUGAGCUUCUCAGAGACAGCGAGUACGAGACUGCAGAAACCAUGUGUCAGAUCCUCCCCAAGGGGGUGGUCGCUGUCCUCGGGCCAUCGUCCAGCCCAGCCUCCAGCUCCAUCAUCAGCAACAUCUGUGGAGAGAAGGAGGUCCCUCACUUCAAAGUGGCCCCAGAGGAGUUUGUCAAGUUUCAGUUCCAGAGAUUCACAACCCUGAACCUCCACCCCAGCAACACUGACAUCAGCGUGGCUGUAGCUGGGAUCCUGAACUUCUUCAACUGUACCACCGCCUGCCUCAUCUGUGCCAAAGCAGAAUGCCUUUUAAACCUAGAGAAGCUGCUCCGGCAAUUCCUCAUCUCCAAGGACACGCUCUCCGUCCGCAUGCUGGAUGACACCCGGGACCCCACCCCCCUCCUCAAGGAGAUCCGGGAUGACAAGACCGCCACCAUCAUCAUCCAUGCCAACGCCUCCAUGUCCCACACCAUCCUCCUGAAGGCAGCCGAACUUGGGAUGGUGUCAGCCUAUUACACAUACAUCUUCACUAAUCUGCUCUCGUCGGCCCUGCUGUUUGAUGCGGUCUACGCUGUGGUGACUGCGGUGCAGGAACUGAACCGGAGCCAGGAGAUCGGCGUGAAGCCCCUGUCCUGUGGCUCGGCCCAGAUCUGGCAGCACGGCACCAGCCUCAUGAACUACCUGCGCAUGGUAGAAUUGGAAGGUCUUACCGGCCACAUUGAAUUCAACAGCAAAGGCCAGAGGUCCAACUAUGCCUUGAAAAUCUUACAGUUCACGAGGAAUGGUUUUCGGCAGAUCGGCCAGUGGCACGUGGCAGAGGGCCUCAGCAUGGACAGCCGCCUCUACGCCUCCAACAUCUCAGACACACUCUUCAACACCACCCUGGUCGUCACCACCAUCCUGGAAAACCCGUAUUUAAUGCUGAAGGGGAACCACCAGGAGAUGGAAGGCAAUGACCGCUACGAGGGCUUCUGUGUGGACAUGCUCAAGGAGCUGGCAGAGAUCCUCCGAUUCAACUACAAGAUCCGCCUGGUUGGGGAUGGCGUGUAUGGCGUUCCCGAGGCCAACGGCACCUGGACGGGAAUGGUCGGGGAGCUGAUCGCUAGGAAAGCAGAUCUGGCUGUGGCAGGCCUCACCAUUACAGCUGAACGGGAGAAGGUGAUUGAUUUCUCUAAGCCAUUCAUGACUCUGGGAAUUAGCAUUCUUUACCGCGUUCAUAUGGGACGCAAACCCGGCUAUUUCUCCUUCCUGGACCCGUUUUCUCCAGGCGUCUGGCUCUUCAUGCUUCUAGCCUAUCUGGCUGUCAGCUGUGUCCUCUUCCUGGUGGCUCGGUUGACGCCCUACGAGUGGUACAGCCCACACCCAUGUGCCCAGGGCCGGUGCAACCUCCUGGUGAACCAGUACUCCCUGGGCAACAGCCUCUGGUUUCCAGUUGGGGGCUUCAUGCAGCAAGGCUCUACCAUCGCCCCUCGCGCCUUGUCCACCCGCUGUGUCAGUGGAGUCUGGUGGGCAUUCACGCUGAUCAUCAUCUCAUCCUACACGGCCAACCUGGCAGCCUUCCUGACCGUGCAACGCAUGGAUGUGCCCAUUGAGUCAGUGGAUGACCUGGCUGACCAGACCGCCAUUGAGUAUGGCACAAUUCACGGAGGCUCCAGCAUGACCUUCUUCCAAAAUUCCCGCUACCAGACCUACCAACGCAUGUGGAAUUACAUGUAUUCCAAGCAGCCCAGUGUGUUUGUGAAGAGCACAGAGGAGGGAAUCGCCAGGGUGUUGAAUUCCAACUAUGCCUUCCUCCUGGAGUCCACCAUGAACGAGUACUAUCGGCAGCGCAACUGCAACCUCACUCAGAUUGGGGGCCUGCUGGACACCAAGGGCUAUGGGAUUGGCAUGCCAGUCGGCUCGGUUUUCCGGGAUGAGUUUGAUCUGGCCAUUCUCCAGCUGCAGGAGAACAACCGCCUGGAGAUACUGAAGCGAAAAUGGUGGGAAGGAGGGAAGUGCCCCAAGGAGGAAGAUCACAGAGCUAAAGGCCUGGGAAUGGAGAAUAUUGGUGGAAUCUUUGUGGUUCUUAUUUGUGGCUUAAUCGUGGCCAUUUUUAUGGCUAUGUUGGAGUUUUUAUGGACUCUCAGACACUCAGAAGCAACUGAGGUGUCCGUCUGCCAGGAGAUGGUGACCGAGCUGCGCAGCAUCAUCCUGUGUCAGGACAGUAUCCACCCCCGCCGGAGGCGCGCCGGAGUCCCGCCGCCCCGGCCCCCAAUCCCGGAGGAGCGUCGGCCCCGGGGCACCGCGACGCUCAGCAACGGGAAGCUGUGCGGGGCGGGGGAGCCCGACCAGCUCGCGCAGAGACUGGCGCAGGAGGCCGCCCUGGUGGCCCGCGGCUGCACGCACAUCCGCGUGUGCCCCGAGUGCCGCCGCUUCCAGGGCCUGCGGGCACGGCCGUCGCCCGCCCGCAGCGAGGAGAGCCUGGAGUGGGAGAAGACCACCAACAGCAGCGAGCCCGAGUAGCCCCGGCGGCUGCAGGACGCGCGGAGGCCGGCCGGGCGGGAGGGGCGGGGCGGGCGCCGCUGUCCGCCGAGAGCUCGGACUUGUACAGCGUAGACACCUCUCCGGAUUUCGGAUCCAGUCACUUUUUUUCAAAAAGAUCAAAGAGCCUGACGCCCCAGCCAGAGACCGCGCCCGGUCAGGGAGCGGGGUCCACCCGGAGACGUUGCACCCAAGUGGCAAAGGACCCCUCUUCUCCCAGCGGGCCUUUCCCUCUCGCCAAAAUAACGGAGUAUAGGGUGUGGGGUCCCUGGCUAGACCAGUCCAAUGAAUUGGUGGAAUCAUCAGUUGAAUUUCCCCCUAGGAAGGGGCCAAUGUACCCUCCGUCUAGUUCGUUCAGAAAAAAAAAAAAUUAAACUAAACAGGGAAGUUUUCUUUUCUGGAUUUGUAUAUUUUUGUUCAUGUUUUUUUCUUUUUUCUUUCCUCCUCUUUUCUUCUUUGUCAUCUUCUCAGUUCUGUUCAUUUGUUUUGUGGUUUUUGAAGGGGGAGGCUGGGUUAGGGAAUGGAAGUCUAAAUAAUCCCUAUUUCUUCUUUUUCCUGACCUUUGGAAUAUUGAGUCACCAGUGCAUCCGAUUUCAGGUGCUUAACUCUUUUCUGUGUGGUGAGUGAGGGGAACAGGAGAAGGGGUCUUGGGGAGAAUCAGAUGGAGAGCCUCAAAUAAAAGUCCAUUGAAGUAAAUUUUUAGAUGCCA
rnacentral:lncRNA from 13 species